rnacentral:ncRNA from 1 species
CACAGAGGCGCGAAGUUCAUCAGUAGCUUGCUCUGCAAGCCCAGCCAGGGCAUGGAGCGGUGAAAGGGUCCUUCGCCGAAGGCGGUACGCGGCACGUAUCGACCUGGGCUCGUUGCCGAAAAGGAGCGGGACUGUCACAUUCGAUAGAAUGUGUUGCGCUGU